UCAAGUUGAUCCUGCUUGAGGCUGCGGCUCUCUGGUUUACACUUAGCCAUGCAAGUUAUUGUGCUUAGAAAUAGGUGCAAGGCGAACUGCUCAGUAACACGUAGUUAACCUGCCCUAAGGUCGAGGAUACCCUCGGGAAACUGAGGUUAAAACUCGAUAGAAGAUAUACCCUGGAAUGAUUUAUCUUCAAAAUUCGUGCCUUAGGAUGGGACUGCGGCGGAUUAGGUUGUUGGCGGGGGAAAAGCCCACCAAGCCGAUGAUCAGUAAGGGCUCUUAGCGGAGAGGCCCUGAGAGGGAAUCUUAGACACUAUUCCCAGCCCUACGGGGUGCAGCAGGUAGGAAUCUUUUACAAUGCGCGAAAGCGUGAUAAAGCGAGCCAGAGUGAUUUUCUACGGAAAAUCUUUUGUUUGCUGUAAAAAGGCAGACGAAUAAGGACUGGGUAAGACGAGUGCCAGCCGCCGCGGUAAUACUCGCGGUCCAAGUCGCAGCCAUCAUUAUUAGGUCUAAAAUAUCCGUAGCUUGUUCUGAAAGUUUCUUGUGAAAUCCUACAUCUUAAGUGUAGGGCGUGCAAGAAAUACUUCAGGGCUAGAGACUGGAAGACGUAAGAAGUACGAUAGAAGUAGUGGUAAAAUACGUUAAUCUUUAUCGGACUCUCAAUAGCGAAGGCAUCUUACGAGUACAGUUCUGACAGUGAGGGAUGAAGGCUAGGGGCGCAAAAGGGAUUAGAUACCCCUGUAGUCCUAGCAGUAAACACUGCAUACUAAACAUCAGUACCUCCUCGAGAGGUGUUGGUGCUGAAGCGAAGGCGAAGAGUAUGCUACCUGGGAAGUAUAGCCGCAAGGCCGAAACUUAAAGGAAUUGGCGGGGGGGCACUACAACGGAUGACGCGUGCGGUUCAAUUCGAUUCCACACCGGGAACCUCACCAGGAGCGACAGCAGGAUGAAGGUCAGUCUGAAGGGCUUACCUGACACGCUGAGAGGAGUUGCAUGGCCGACGUCAGCCUGUGCCGUGAGGUGACCUGUUAAAUCAGGUAACAGGCGAGACCCGCGUGUAUAUUUACAAUAUACAAUAUACAGAUUGCCUGAGCAAUCAGGAUGAAAGGGCGGGCUACGUUAGGUGAGUACAGCCCGAAUCCCCUGGGCUACACGCGCGCGGCAAUGCUGAAUACAGUGAGAUGCAACUCCGAGAGGAGAAGCUAAUCCCAUAAAGUUCAGCUCAGUUCAGAUUGAGGUUUGCAAUUCAACCUCAUGACGCUGGAACCCGUAGUAAUCGUUCUUUAGCAGAGAGCGGUGAAUAUGUCCCUGCCCCUUGCACACACUGCCCGUCAAACCAACCGAGUUAAUUUAGGAUGAAACUUUUAAGGAGAAUCCUAGUUUAGCAAGGUAGGUUAAGUCGUCACAAGGUAACUGUAGGGGAACCUGCAGUUG
rnacentral:rRNA from 1 species